rnacentral:rRNA from 1 species
AACGUAGGAGACAAAGCGUUAUCCGGUAGUUGACUGGGCGUAAAGGGCGUGUAGGUGGUAUCGUAAGUCUGGCGUGAAAUUUCUCGGCUUAACCGAGGCAGGUCGUCGGAUACUGCGAGGCUAGAGGACGGUAGAGGCGUGUGGAGUUCCGGGUGUAGUGGUGAAAUGCGUAGAGAUCCGGAGGAACACCAGUGGCGAAGGCGACACGCUGGGCCGUACCUGGACACUGAUGCGCGACAGCAUGGGAGCAAACGAGG